AAGGCACCCGCCACCAUUGAAAGGUCACCAUUAAUCCAAGACCUCGAUGGUGGGUGUUUUUUGUCUACCUCGGUUAAUGAAGCAGAAAAAACAAAAAAAAAGAGAAAACACCUUGGAUAGGCCCGCCGAGCCCACUAGGGUUGCUACCACUAGAGCUAACUAGAUCCGCCACUAGGAACUCCUUCGCACUGGAUCCACGGCCCAGGAGCUCCUCCUCACCGGAUCUACCACCGGAGCCCCACGACACAUAGGCCCUAGUGCAGAUCCGUCACCGGGAGCGCCGAUCCACCGCUACGGUCGCAGAUCCACCGCUUGGAGGGCCCGUGUAUUCCUCGCUCGUGCACUAGCUAUCGUAGCCACAUGCACUGAUUCGCCAUCCCU
rnacentral:lncRNA from 1 species